rnacentral:rRNA from 1 species
UACGGAGGGUGCAAGCGUUGCUCGGAAUUACUGGGCGUAAAGCGUACGCAGGCUGUCCACUAAGUCGGGUGUGAAAUCCCGGGGCUCAACCCCGGAAUUGCGCCCGAAACUGAUGGACUUGAGUGCGGGAGAGGGAAGCGGAAUUCCUGGUGUAGAGGUGAAAUUCGUAGAUAUCAGGAGGAACACCGGUGGCGAAAGCGGCUUCCUGGCCCGACACUGACGCUCAUGUACGAAAGCGUGGGGAGCAAACAGG